UUCCUUGCUCUAUAACUCUGUUCUUUUUUUUCCUAGUAACUCCCAACUUGAUAGUGGUUGCUUGCAGCCUUGUUGGGAGUGAAUGCAAAUAAAAAAACAAAAAAUAAAAAAAAAACCUGUGUGGCACCCCUUAAUGAUGAAAUAUCCUUCUCAAAUUUUGCACAUAAGUUUGUUAAUGCUAAAAGGAACAAAAAUAGAGGUUGUCCCAUCAAUUUACUUUGAAAAAGUUUUUUGAGCACCACCCUAAUACAGCUUCUAAAAUAACAGCCGGUCUACGGUCAAUGACCGCCCAAAUAAAAUUGCUAUUUUGACCUCUGAAAAUCCGGUAGGCGCUGAAAUCCGAAUAAGGGGGCGUUUCAACUAAUAAUCUUAUUUUGAAUUACUGUGAUAUAUAUUAUUAGAUUUAAAAAAAUAUGGCAAAUUAUAGCAAAAAUGUGUUAGAUGCCCUAACAGAAAUCGAAUCUACACAGCCUAUCACUGAGCUAACCUAUCAAGACUACCUAUUAUAUAGGUCCAAGCAUCCUGGACCCACCAGCAAUAGUUCAUUUAAGCGAUGGGUCCGGUUAGGAGGAAGAGACAAUAAUUCUUUUAAAUGGCCCUAUCAUCCUCCUAACAAUGGUGCUGCGAGCCGCAGCAGAAGGGAAGGUGGUCGAGAUCGUGGAAGUGGAGGAAGCAGAGGGAGAAGAUGGAAUGGUGGCAGCCUAGUGGUUCAUGGAGAUUAUUACAAUUAUUAGGCACCACCAUCCUUUUUUUUUUUUAAUUUUAAAUUAUUUAAUUUCUGCAAGUUUAUUUUCCGUUUUUUCCCAAUUUAUACAAUUAUAACAUUUGCUUUAUAUUUUUUCAAACUUUUACCCAAAAAAAUUUAAAAGCAAAACAUUGUAAUAAUCCCAAUGAAAUACUUUUUACACUUUUAAAAGUUGUAUUAUAUAAAUUUGUAAAGUUUACACUAUAGAUAGAUGUGGACCUUUCAAUAGAAUUAGGUUUUUUUUUUAAGACUUUGUAGCCCACGUUAAAUGUAAUUUUAAAUUUAUGUGUAAUAUUUCAAAUGUUGAUAAAUGUGAAGUGUAUUUUGCAAACUUAUUUACUAUUCUUGUUUUAGUUUAUUAAAAAUGUUUGUUUGACUUUAUUAAUAGUUAUUUGAUUUUAUGUUAUUGUACCCUAUGUUUACAGUUCCUAAAAAUUAUAUUUGCAUUAUUGAGGUUAAAAUAUCAGUUUCUUGUAAUCGUAACUUGUUUAAAGAAGGGUGGAUACUCCAACUUGCAUUUUGUAAUGUGGUUGGAUACGACUGGGCAGGAAGGGGGGGCGUUUGGCAUGGCACAUGUCCCGUCCCUUAUGUAAACUUAUACACCACUUGUAUAUGCUGUAAAGUAAGAAAAUUUAAUUUAAAAUAUUUCAUACAAAAUAUAAUCAUUGUUUUUUAGGUUCAAAUAUUUAUAACAAUGUAGCAUUUCACUACGAGGGUGUUAAAACGUAGCAAAGACCUCCACCCUUCAAUCUAAAAUAGACCACUAAUAUUUGGAAAUGGAUUGGAAGCAAAUCAAACAAUUUUUUGUGUAUAAAGAUGACAUAUUUUAUCAGAAAAAAACUCUUUCGUGUGAAAAACUUGUAUUUUUUUAAGGGUACGAGGGUGUUCCGGUACCCCCUCCGGUCCUCUAGACACCCCUUUCAUCUAUAGAGUUAUAUGAACUUGUAGCCUACUCUUACAUCUAUCUUUUGAUACCAAGGUAUAGACAUUUGGAUAAGAUUUGACAAAGUUAUAACAAUUUUAGU